UUGGGAAUACCGUUGCGCGUC
rnacentral:misc_RNA from 1 species